CUUGAAUUUGUUUGCAUCUUCGUCAGCUUAUUCGUUUGCAGACUAGAAAAAUGGCGAACAGCCAUCAAAAUACUAAUUCAAAAUACACAUCUUACACUUUACACACAAAUGGGUGCGCGCAGCAAAAUUCAGCCCUUAUGGCGAAUGUGUGCGAACGUUCACCGGGGGAAGAGGUAUGGGACGACAGCUGGCAUGGCAUCCAGACGGUGAUCUGGCUUUAGCAUACGGUGGCUUUAGCAUUAAGUUGUAACCGCGUUAAGAUAUUUGACAUAGCCGAAGGCGAGCUAAUGCAGUGCACUCGUCGCCGGAGAAUGAUGUUGCAUUUCACCCAAGUGGAAAUUUCUUGGUGACUGGCGGCGAUGACGAUACAAUAAGAUUUAUUAGAAGGUCGACCAAUUUAUACACGGUAGUAGUGCACUUUAGCGGAACCAGGUCAAAAUUGACGGGAAAAUUAUACACUAACUGGCCAUAUGACUAAGUUUGCGCCGUCGCUUUCUCUCCACAUGGUAGACAUUUUGCUUCCGCGGGCGAGGAUCGACCGUUGCUCGUUUGAAAAUCUAAUUUGCAUACAUUUGAUGCAU
rnacentral:lncRNA from 1 species